rnacentral:piRNA from 1 species
UCCCGGAUUAAUGUGCAGACCGUAGGC